UUGUAAUAAAGUAAUUUUACUAUAUUUUAAAUUUAAGUAACCAUAGAAUACAACUUUUUUUUUUUUAAUAUAUUCACAAUAAGACCUAAAAUUUUACUUGGUUUUUAAGCACUAAUGACCACCUCGCAUUAUGCUGAUCUUGGAGCCUCCAUAGCCAUUUGAAAAGAAGCGCCUGAUUAUGCAAAGUGAUGUUUACAAUUCGGAGUUCUCUGUUUUUGGGCUGCAUCAGUGAUUGCCAGUUGAUUAGCUGUGAUUUCUUGACAUUACAACGGCUGGACCAAAAGAAGUUUCUAAUUAAUUCUCAUUCUUCUUCCCUACUUGCUUAAAGAGGUAAUAGAUUGGCAAAUUGGACACCAUUGAUUUGAUUAAAGCUAGCCUGCCAUGAUCUUGCCUUUCCAAAAACCAAGCCGGUUUUCAAUCUUAUGUAUCACAGGUAGCCAAGUAGCAAAACAUGACGGACUCUGCAAGAACACCAAUAGCACAACAAGCAAUAUUUGCAGCCCUGCAAAAUAAGCGAGUCAUCAACGUUAACGCCAAAGAGAGUUGACUUACGGAAAUUCACCUUCAAACCAGACAGAGUGGAAGCAUCUCAAAAUUCGAAAAGGUAUACCAGAAACAAGAAAUGAGAAAAUGCUCUCUCGUUUUUCAUUGAAAACUGGAUGACUAAUAUAUGAGUAUUUAUACUACUCUAAUGUGUAUAGAAGAAGCUAGAUACAAGGUCAACAAAAUACAUCUAUACUACUAAUCAAAUUACAAUAUUCUCCUCACUAUAUAUGCUAAUAUCUCCCCCUCAAGGUGGAUCUGGUGGUAAGUCCACAAGAUUCGGCUUGGAAAUAAAGGUAUUGUGAGAAGCUACAUACAAAGUUUAGUAAACACAUCUGCCAGCUGAUGGACAGAAGGCACGUGAGAAGGUUGAAUAAAUACUUUUCGUAACUGCUCUCUAACCAAAUGACAAUCAAUAUCAAGAUGCUUUGUACACUCAUGAAAAACAGGAUUAUUGGCUAUGUGAAUGGCAGCCUGAUUGUCACAUUUGAUAGGAAUGGACAGCUAAAGUGAAGCUCUAAAAUCUCUACGCAAAUAAGAAAUCCACAAGAGUUCACACACAGUAGCACCCAUGCUGCAAUACUCUGCUUCAGCAGAGGAUUUAGAGGCACUAGAAAAGGAAGAAGACCCCCAAUCUGCAUCAUAAUAAGCUCUUAACUGAAAAUUAGAUGCAGCAGGGAAAUAAGGCCUCUACCAGGACAACUCUUAAGAUAUCUCAACAAAUGACAAGCAGCAUCCCAAUGAGGCUUGCGAGGAGAAGCCAUAAACUGACUUAAAUGCUGCAAUAAAUAGCUGAUGUCGGGUCUGGUAAUAUUAAUAUAUAACAACCUGCCUAUGACUCUUCUAAACUUAUCAGGAUCUCGCAAAAGUUCUCCAUCUUGAGUGAGAUGCAGCCUUUUAGGAAGAGGAAUAGCUACUGGUUUUGCAGACACCAUACCAGCAUCUUUUUGGACAUCUAAAACAAAUUUUCUUUGGCUAAUGACAGUGCCAGAAUCUGAUCUAGCAACUUCCACACCUAAAAAAUACUUGAGAAAGCCAAGAUCCUUGAUGGUGAAUUUAUCAUGCAAAGCUUGCUUAAGCUGCUCAAUAGUUAUGACAUCAGCACGUGUAAGAAUGACAUCAUCAGCAUAGAUCAAUAAGGUAAUAAAACCAUCAUUGGAAUCCUAGGUAAACAAGCAGUGAACAUGAGCUAACUGAGGAAAUCCCAAAGACUGCAAGAAGGAAGUGAAUUCAAGGUUCCAUUGCCUAGAGGCUUGCUUCAAGCCAUAGAGGGAUCUCUUGAGUAAACAAACUUGACCAGGGAGAGCCUUGGCAUAACCAUCAGGAGGCUGCAUGUAAACUUCUUGUUCCAGAAAACCAUGCAAGAAGGCAUUAUUUAAUUAUGUCAAGUUGAAAUAUAGGCCAUUUAUAGGUUGUGGCCAAAGCUAUAAAAAUUCUGUCACAACCUUUGCCACUGGAGAGAACCUCCCUUUAAAAUCUAAGCCUUCAAUUUGGUUGUAAUCUUUAGCAACCAAACGUGCUUUAAAUCUAUCCACCUCUCCAUUAGGCUUGACUUUCACCCUGUAAACCCAUUUAGAACCUAUAGCCUUCUUGCCUUUGGGUAAAUUAGUUAAAAUCCAAGUACCAAUUUUUUCUAAAGCAAGCAAUUCCUGGUUCAUUACUCAAUCCAUUUUGGACCAGUUGAAGCUUGAAGAUAAGUACCAGGCUCAUAAAUCUGAGAUACUAAGUUAAGGUAAGAAUUAUAAGCUGGGGUAAAAGAAAAAACUGUAUUACCUGAGAGUGCAGCAAAUGGAACAGAUUGAGUUAAAGAGGUUAAAACAAAGUCUUUCAUCCCUGUGGGCCUAGAAUGAACUCUAGUGCUUUUCCUAAGUGGCGGAGAAUGGUGCAAAACUGCACUAGAAAGAACAAAUUGUGUGAACUGUUGUAAAUCUAGACUGAAGAGAUAAAUUAGGAAAAGAAUUAGAAUGGAUAGAAGCAUCAAAAGAAGUAGAAUCAGUAGAAAUGAAAUGAACAGGCA
rnacentral:misc_RNA from 1 species